rnacentral:misc_RNA from 1 species
GAUGAAGAACGCAGCGAAAUGCGAUACGUAAUGUGAAUUGCAGAAUUCAGUGAAUCAUCGAGUCUUUGAACGCACAUUGCGCCCCCUGGUAUUCCGGGGGGCAUGCCUGUCCGAGCGUCAUUGCUGCCCUCAAGCACGGCUUGUGUGUUGGGCCUCCGUCCUCCCGGGGGACGGGCCCGAAAGGCAGCGGCGGCACCGCGUCCGGUCCUCGAGCGUAUGGGGCUUCGUCACCCGCUCUUGUAGGCCCGGCCGGCGCUUGCCGACACAUCAAUCUUUUUUCCAGGUUGACCUCGGAUCAGGUAGGGAUACCCGCUGAACUUAAGCAUAUCAAUAGCGGAGGA